UUUGUACGACAUGUAGGAGAACAGAUGCACACACCGUGUUUUCAAUGGAUAUGUGUCUGUCUGUGAUAGUACUUUAAAGAGUCGUAUAAUAUCCUUCAAUGGUCUUACUUUUCCCACGCAUUAAUACUUUAAAGUACUUGGGUAUUUUAUCGUACGAGGAACGAAUUGAAAUAAAACAAUCCGUUUAUUAAUACGCUCACUGUUGAAAAUCGUAUAAAAAAAGGUGUACGUUUUUUAUAUUAAUACUGAAAAUAAUUUCUCUUCUUUUUUUUUUUCUAGAAUAACCCGCCAUGGCGGUUUGGCCUCGGACUCCCAUGACGUCAACAGUUCUGCAGAGCGAUCUAAAAACCAGUCUAUGGAUGCUGUCUCCAAAUCACACUAUUAGGACCGCAUUUUACACAGCACUCAGAAUUCCGAUCCAGUCAACACUGAAUGAACACAACGGAAAGCGCUUCUCGUGUGCUCCCAACCCGGAUAUGUCGAAGAUUAAACGAUAUAAAGAGAACAGAGUUGCAGUAAACAUUAAAUUAACGUUGUUCAAUAUUAAUAAAAAAAAUAUUUCAUAUAGCUUCGUGUUUUACUGUAAGCAGUAAAAAUUAAUACCGUUUGUUUUAUAGUGUGAGGCUAAAAAUCUGUUUUACUACUUGAGACUCUCUAAAAAGAUUAUAAAUUGAAAACAUCCGGAUUUUAAAAUGAUGCAAUUCAUGUGCCUAUUCAGCUAUAUGCCUUUUGUUUCCCCGUUUUGUACACUAAAGGUCUAUGACGAAUGAUUUACCUAGCGUUUGAUAUAUAUUUAGGGCAGCUUUGCAUAUAAUGUUGCAUGUUCAUAUUACUUGAGUAUUGCUAGUUCCUCUCCGUGCCAGCGACAUUGUAUAGAUGGAGGAUGUUUGGCUUAUGGGGAAUAGGACACAAAGCCGCAACCCGGAAACAUCCGGAACCGGUUUCCUCCGAUAUUCACCACAUUCUUGUUCGAUUUGUACAACUGCUUGCAAAGCAUAUAUAUCUAUUGUACAAGAAGAAUACAAGUAAUUGUUCUUUGACUACCUAGUAGUCUUUAUAAUGAUGUUUAAGCAUCAGUGGCAUAAGAUAGCACAUAUUACCUAAUUGUACAUAAAGUUUAUUUAUUUUACUGUUCUUUUUUUAUAAAUAGAUUUUCGAAUAAAUAUUGAUAAGAAUUC
rnacentral:misc_RNA from 1 species